rnacentral:rRNA from 1 species
UAGGUGGCAAGCGUUAUCCGGAAUUACUGGGUGUAAAGGGUGUGUAGGCGGGGAUGCAAGUCAGAUGUGAAAAUCACGGGCUCAACUCGUGAACUGCAUUUGAAACUGUAUUUCUUGAGGGUCGGAGAGGUAAACGGAAUUCCCAGUGUAGCGGUGAAAUGCGUAGAUAUUGGGAGGAACACCAGUGGCGAAGGCGGUUUACUGGACGACAACUGACGCUGAGACACGAAAGCGUGGGGAGCAAAC